GGACACAGCAUGGUCAUGAGGGUCCCUGUGCAGCUCCUGGGGCUCCUGCUGCUCUGGCUGCCAGGUGGCAGAUGUGACAUCCAGUUGACGCAGUCUCCAUUUGUGUUGGCUUCUUUGGGAGAGAGACUCACCAUCACGUGUCGAGCCAGCCAGGGCAUUAGCAAGAGUUUACAUUGGUAUCAGCAGAGAGCAGGGCAAGCUCCCAAACUCCUGAUCGGUUAUGCAACCACUGUGCAGUCUGGGGUCCCAGCCAGGUUCAGCGGCAGUAGGUCUGGGACGGAUUUCACUCUCGCCAUCAGCAGCCUGGAGCCUGAAGAUGCCUCCACUUAUUACUGUCAACACAGUAAAAUUUGGUCCCUCACAGUGAUAAAAGCCGUGACAUAA